rnacentral:tRNA from 1 species
GUCGGGGUGGCUCAGCCUGGUGGAGCGUCGGACUCAUAAUCCGGAGGUCACGGGUUCGAACCCCGUCCCCGACACCA